rnacentral:rRNA from 1 species
AUUGAACGCUGGCGGCAGGCUUAACACAUGCAAGUCGAACGAGUGGCGGAGGGGUGAGUAAUGUUGGGGAAUCUAGCUCAUGGAGGGGGAUAACUACGGGAAACUGUAGCUAAUACCGCGUACCAUAGGAGGAGCCGAAGGGGGAUUAGGUAGUUGGUGGGGUAAAGGCUAACCAAGCCGACGAUCUCUAGCUGGUCUGAGAGGAUGACCAGCCACACUGGGACUGAGACACGGCCCAGACUCCUACGGGGGGCAGCAGUGGGGAAUAUUGCGCAAUGGGGGCAACCUGACGCAGCCAGGCCGCGUGAAUGAAGAAGGCCUUCGGGUUGUAAAGUUCUUUCGGUAGGGAGGCGUUACCUACAGAAGAAGCAACGGCUAACUCCGUGCCAGCCGCCGCGGUAAUAC